rnacentral:rRNA from 1 species
CGGCGAGUGAAGCGGCAACAGCUCAAAUUUGAAAGCUGGCCCUUUCAGGGUCCGCGUUGUAAUUUGUAGAGGAUGAUUCGGCGAGGGCUCCCGCCUAAGUCCCCUGGAACGGGGCGUCAUAGAGGGUGAGAAUCCCGUAUGCGGUGGGCUGCCUUAGCCGUGUGAAUCUCCUUCGACGAGUCGAGUUGUUUGGGAAUGCAGCUCUAAAUGGGAGGUAAAUUUCUUCUAAAGCUAAAUACCGGCCAGAGACCGAUAGCGCACAAGUAGAGUGAUCGAAAGAUGAAAAGCACUUUGGAAAGAGAGUUAAAAAGUACGUGAAAUUGUUGAAAGGGAAGCGCUUGCAACCAGACUUGUCCGCAGUUGCUCAGCCGGUCUCCUGACCGGCGUACUCUUCUGCGGCCAGGCCAGCAUCAGUUCGGGCGGUCGGAUAAAGACCUCGGGAAUGUAGCUCCUCUCGGGGAGUGUUAUAGCCCGGGGUGGAAUGCGGCCAGCCUGGACUGAGGAUCUCGCUUCGGCAAGGAUGCUGGCGUAAUGGUUGUAAGCGGCCCGUCUUGAAACACGGACCAAGGAGUCUAACAUCUAUGCGAGUGUUUGGGUGUCAAACCCAUACGCGUAAUGAAAGUGAACGGAGGUGGGAACCCGCAAGGGCGCACCAUCGGCCGAUCCUGAUGUCUUCGGAUGGAUUUGAGCAAGAGCAUAGCUGUUGGGACCCGAAAGAUGGUGAACUAUGCCUGAAUAGGGUGAAGCCAGAGGAAACUCUGGUGGAGGCUCGCAGCGGUUCUGACGUGCAAAUCGAUCGUCAAAUUUGGGUAUAGGGGCGAAAGACUAAUCGAACCAUC